rnacentral:rRNA from 1 species
AUUGAACGCUGGCGGCAGGCUUAACACAUGCAAGUCGAACGAGUGGCGGACGGGUGAGUAAUGCUUGGGAAUCUAGCUUAUGGAGGGGGAUAACUACGGGAAACUGUAGCUAAUACCGCGUACCAUAGGAUGAGCCCAAGUGGGCUUAGGUAGUUGGGGAGGUAAUCGCCCACCAAGCCGACGAUCUCUAGCUGGUCUGAGAGGAUGACCAGCCACACUGGAACUGAGACACGGCCCAGACUCCUACGGGAGGCAGCAGUGGGGAAUAUUGCACAAUGGGCGCAAGCCUGAUGCAUCCAUGCCGCGUGUAUGAAGAAGGCCUUCGGGUUGUAAAGUACUUUCAGUCGGGAGGGGUUACCGACAGAAGAAGCACCGGCUAACUCCGUGCCAGCAGCCGCGGUAAUUC